rnacentral:lncRNA from 1 species
ACAGGCUCUUCCGCCCCAGGGCGGAAGUGGGCGGGCCCAAAUUUCCCAUUCUGGGCGGAGGUCCUGGGCUGUGGGUGGCGCCUGCGCACUGGGUGGGGCGCCCUGCUCCAGAGUGCAUUUCUUCGGCUGAGGACCAGCGUUGCUUUCGUAGUACUUAGUCACCAGCUUCCAGUGCUGCCGUCUCCGGGUCGCGGGAUUGAGGCGCUCGCAGGUCCUAGGGACAGAGCACGGCGGGGAAAGCGAGAUGGAGGCGGAGGGUGCCCAGGGUCCCCGGGAGCGCCGCGGCGAGGCCCUGGCUCAGAGGCCGGAGCAGAACCAUGUGCAGUCGCAGCCUGGGACCAACGGACUUCCCAAACACUCCUACUGGCUGGACCUCUGGCUCUUCAUCCUUUUCGACCUGGUGUUGUUUUUCUUCGUGUAUCUUAUCCCCUGACUGGUUUGCUGAUAUCUCAGGAAGUUAGCUUCUGGAGUGAAUUCUGAUGACAACUACUGAUUUUUUAAAUAAAGAAGAUAGGAUUGUGUCACAGCAGAAUUUCAAGAUUCUAAAGCAGUUUCCUCACAUUUAACACAUUAACUCAUUGGAAAACAAUAAAAUGAGUAAUGAUCAUGCCUAUACAUAGCUAAGUUCUUAAAACUCCAUUGGUUCAUAUAUAAAAACUUUUCAGACAUCUAAUGUUUUUACAAAGUAUUUGUACUUAAAUGUUUAGUAUAUUAAGAAAUAUACUAAUGUUUUUAAUAUUUUAAGGGUCAGUUUUUAAUUUGAUACAAAAUAAUACGGUAUAUAAUGAGGUGAGGUAAUUAUACAUUGAAAAGCAACUUCAGAAGGGAUUUUGAGAGAAGGCAUGAAGUGUUUUUAGAUUCCAUAAAGACUAUAACAAAAGCUAUACAGAAAAUAUAAUAGGUACACUGUUUUGGCUCUAAAAGUUUCCUUUUUAGACUUUCAGGAAAAGAUAUGUCAUGGUUCACAGCUUGAUACACAGACCUAGAGAAAACAUACCAGAUAUGUAUGCUACCCUUUAAUUCCUUUUAAACUCUUGAGCUCCCUAAAAUAAGAUUGUUUUCAAGCCUAUUUUUAUUACUAUUGUAUUAAGUAUGCUUGUAGCCAGAACAUAUUUUUAUAAUGCUUGUGACUUUGUUAAAUAUUUGAUCAACAUCAGUUGUGAUACUUAUUCAUUCAACAGAUCCUGUUGUCCAAGCAUUAUUUUAGACACAGCAGGGAACAAAAAUUCUUCACGGAGUCUAUUUUCUCAUUUGUUCUUUUAAAAACUCUCAUGUUAUGGGUCAGGGAUUUAGCUCAGUGGCACCACACCUGCUUCGCAAGCUUAAAGUCCUGAGUUCGAUCCCCAGUACCAAAAACAACCUCUUAUGUUAUUUAAUAAGAAUUUACAUUCCAUCCCUACAAUGAAUGUAAUCACUGUGUUGAAAAUAUGUACUAAUUUUUUAAAAGUAUUGAAAAAAUUUACAUUCCAAGGAUGAUCAGCUGGCAUUUUAAUGGAAAAGCCACAAAGUAGCUACUAUAUAAUCGCUUGAGAAGUUAGUCCUUUUAGCUCCAAAUGCUGUAUAUAAUGAAUAUUAGAAAUUGACUCCUCACUGAAAUCAGUACUAUUUGAUAUAUAUGAACUGUCUGAAAUAUUUAGGGGUUAUUCUUUUCCCUAUAAGACAUGGGAUCUGGUAAACUUUAUACCCUCAUGAUGCAGAAUGGCUCUUAGUACUAAAAUCAAGUCUGCAAUUGAUUUUGGAGGAUCUUAAUUGGCCUAAUGACCAUAAAAUUAAUUAUACCUUCAGGGUAUUGUUUCAUCUGCCUAAAGAGAACCUUUCUUGGAAGGUGUGAUAUCUGGGAUUUCAGAGUUUAUUAAGUGAUUAUAUGACCUGUUCUUUGUGCUGCUUAAUAAUUGUUGUCUAAUAAAUGUUUACUUACAUAGCUGGAUUUGGUUUUAUUGUAUAAAAUUAUUUGGUGAUGAGGUUAAUAUGCUUAAUAGUUUUUACAUGUCUUACCUUUAGGUCACAAAGACAUCCAAUCAUUAUCCAAACUACCUUUCUGAGCCUAAAACCAGUCUACUCCACAAGUAGCAGAUAUUCUUAAAAUUUCUAGUACAGCAAGGAUAGAGAGAUCUUAGUGUGAUAAUUUUUUUUUUUUUUGGUACCAGGGAUCGAACUCCGGACCUUAAUGUGAUAAUUUUUUGUGUCAGUUUGACUGGGCUGAGAGAUCCAAGAUAGCUGGUAAAAACAUCCCUGGGUAUGUUCAUGAGGGUAUUUCUGGAGAUUAGAAUUUGAAUGUAGGUGAGAAUCAUCCUGUCCUUUGUGUACCUGGAGAAAUACAAAGGCAGAGGAAGGGCACAUUUUCUUUGGCUGAGCUGGGACAUCUAUGUGUCUUGGUUCUCAGGCCUUAAGAGGUGGACCAGGCUCCUGGUUCUCAGGCCCUAUGUGUGGACUGGAACUACACUGCCAACUUCACUGGGUAUCUUAUAGUGGGAAUUCAUAGGCCUCAAUAAUCACAUGAGGCAAUCCUUCAUACUAAUUCUAUAUAUGACUGUAAGUAGUGUACGAAAAUGGUGGGAGAAUGAGGGUUGAAACCCACAUGUUAAGCUAUGUACCCACUGAACAGUGCCAUUUUUAGUGAACUGCUUACAGUUUAAGAAAUUUAAGAAAUUAAAUUUAAGAAAUGUGUAAAUGGGACACCAAGAAAACUUACAAACUUCUACAACAAAAACACAUCAAGAGUAACCAGUAUGAUUUUAAUGUUAAAAUCCUUUAUCAAUUCCACAUACCUGAUUUCAAACAAGUAAAAUGACUUUUUAAUAGUUCCACUUGAAAUGAAUUGUCUUGUUAAAAGUUGUGAGGAACAGUUUUGAGGGGUCUGUUAACUUCAAGGUUUUAGGAUGUAAAGAGCUCCAAAUACCUAGUCUCCAAACAGCACAGGAAUACACUUGGAGAGAGACCAGCAUAAUAUUUACAGUGUAAGUGUACUUAAUGUAGCCUAGGACAAGGUCAAACAAACCAGGGCCACUGGGCCAAAUCUGGCUUGCUGCCUGUUUGAAUAGGAAGACCACUGACCUAAGAGGAAGUUUCACAUUUUAAAUUCACUGGAAAAUAUCAAAAGGCUUUCAUGACAAAUGAAAAUCAUAUGCAAUUCAGAUUCCAAUGGCAAUAAAAUUUUAUUAGAAAUUAGCCAUGCUUAUUCAUUUACCUACUGUUGGUGGCUGCUUUUAAAUAAAAGGGCAGAGCUGGUU